rnacentral:misc_RNA from 1 species
GAAAUGCGAUAAGUAAUGUGAAUUGCAGAAUUCAGUGAAUCAUCGAAUCUUUGAACGCACCUUGCGCUCCUUGGUAUUCCGAGGAGCAUGCCUGUUUGAGUGUCAUGGAAUUCUCAACUCUAUUUGCUUUUGUGAAUAGAGCUUGGAUUUGGAGGUUUAUUGCUGGUACUUGUGAUCGGCUCCUCUUGAAUGCUUAGCUCGAACCUUUGCGGAUCAGCUAUCGGUGUGAUAAUUGUCUACGCCGUUGCAGUGAAGCAUAUCAAUGGGCUCGGCUUCCAAUCGUCCUUUACUGGACAAUGACUUUGACCUUUGACCUCAGAUCAGGUAGGAUUACCCGCUGAACUUAAGC